UGGAUUUCACCCUGUGCAGACCAAGCGCACCCCCAGGGCUUCCUGCCGAUGCUCCACGGGCAGCACAUGUGGCAGCAGUGUGCUCGUGGGCAGGCACGUGGCGUGCUGCUGCACCGGAGGGACACUCGUGGCCAUGGGGAGCUGCAGGUGCUUCCUGUGAGUCUAUUCACAAAUUUCUUCUUGGCUGUAGAGGAAGCACAAGGAGAUUAAGCUUGCUGGGCUAAAGAAAGUGAAUCCACUGCUGUGAGUACAGAAUCUCAGAACUGGAGGGGAUGGAAGGGACCUCUGGAGAUCAUCCAGUCCAAAAGCUCCAUUAACAGACGCCCGCCCCUCCCUUGAGGAUUUAAGAAGAAAGGAAGGGAGGCAAGGCAAGCUUUCCACCCCGCGGCAGAACCAAGCAUGCCUGCACCAAGCAGGGAGCUGUGUUGUGCUGAGGACUCUCUGUGGGUUUAAUGGAUUUCAGUUGCAUGCCAUGACAGAUUAUGCUGUGGAUUAUCUUCAGAUACAUGUAGGAGAGGUAUUUCAAGGGAACGCUCUUCAGUGGAUGACAAUAAAGUGCACAGAAAAACUGUUUCCCAUCUUUUCCCCUUUCA
ensembl:lncRNA